rnacentral:snRNA from 1 species
CGAUGUGAGGGCAAUCUGGCUGUGACAUCUGUCACCUCGUUGAUCACCAGGGUUGAUUUGGCUGAUCUGGCUGGCUAAGCGGGUGUCCCUUUCCUCCCUCAACACUCCACGUGCAUCCUUCCUGAAACUGCACUCUCGGUCGAAGAGGAUGACCUUCCCCAAUAGAGGAGGACCAGUCUUUGGUCAAGGGUAUACGAGUAACUGUGCUCUCCUGCUAGAACCUCCAAACAAGCUCUCAAAACAGGCAAUCAAUCAAUCAAUCAAUCAAUCAAUCAAUCAAUCAAUCAUGGGGUCUGAAGAGAUGACUCAGUAGUU